CGGGUUACCCUUGUGCUCUGUGCUUUUGGGUAUCUAGGCCGCGAUUUAAUUGAAAAUGGAUUUUUUUUUUUGAAAUAUGGGUUCAAAUUAAAAAAUAAAAAUAAAAAAAAUUUUGG
ensembl:lincRNA linc-118 ncRNA